rnacentral:rRNA from 1 species
UAGACCCGAAACCCGGUGAUCUAGCCAUGGGCAGGUUGAAGGUUGGGUAACACUAACUGGAGGACCGAACCGACUAAUGUUGAAAAAUUAGCGGAUGACCUGUGGCUGGGGGUGAAAGGCCAAUCAAACCGGGAGAUAGCUGGUUCUCCCCGAAAGCUAUUUAGGUAGCGCCUCGUGAAUUCAUCUCCGGGGGUAGAGCACUGUUUCGGCCAGGGGGCCAUCCCGGCUUACCAAUCCGAUGCAAACUGCGAAUACCGGAGAAUGUUAUCACGGGAGACACACGGCGGGUGCUAACGUCCGUCGUGAAGAGGGAAACAACCCAGACCGCCAGCUAAGGUCCCAAAGUCAUGGUUAAGUGGGAAACGAUGUGGGAAGGCCCAGACAGCCAGGAUGUUGGCUUAGAAGCAGCCAUCAUUUAAAGAAAGCGUAAUAGCUCACUGGUCGAGUCGGCCUGCGCGGAAGAUGUAACGGGGCUAAACCAU